UCUAAUCUGAAAAUUUAAAAUAAGAAACUUUCUUGAAGUGGACACAGUGCAACAAAUUGUACACGCGACCUACAGAUCUCAUUCAAAUGUAAAUCCAUUAAAAUGUCACUGAAAAGCGUUUUCAGCAUAUGUGAAUAGUGGUGUGUGAAGUGUAAUGAACUAGGUGUGGUGUGCACUCUGUAGUCCUAGCACUGAGGAGCUGUGGUGUGCGCUCUGUAGUCCUAGCACUGAGGAGCUGUGGUGUGCGCUCUGUAGUCCUAGCACUGAGGAGCUGUGGUGUGCGCUCUGUAGUCCUAGCACUGAGGAGCUGUGGUGUGCGCUCUGUAGUCCUAGCACUGAGGAGCUGUGGUGUGCGCUCUGUAGUCCUAGCACUGAGGAGGUGUGGUGUGCGCUCUGUAGUCCUAGCACUGAGGAGCUGUGGUGUGCGCUCUGUAGUCCUAGCACUGAGGAGGUGUGGUGUGCGCUCUGUAGUCCUAGCACUGAGGAGCUGUGGUGUGCGCUCUGUAGUCCUAGCACUGAGGAGCUGUGGUGUGCGCUCUGUAGUCCUAGCACUGAGGAGCUGUGGUGUGCGCUCUGUAGUCCUAGCACUGAGGAGCUGUGGUGUGCGCUCUGUAGUCCUAGCACUGAGGAGCUGUGGUGUGCGCUCUGUAGUCCUAGCACUGAGGAGCUGUGGUGUGCGCUCUGUAGUCCUAGCACUGAGGAGCUGUGGUGUGCGCUCUGUAGUCCUAGCACUGAGGAGCUGUGGUGUGCGCUCUGUAGUCCUAGCACUGAGGAGCUGUGGUGUGCGCUCUGUAGUCCUAGCACU